AGCAGCCGCGGUAAUUCCAGCUCCAAUAGCGUAUAUUAAAGUUGUUGCAGUUAAAAAGCUCGUAGUUGAAUUUCGGGGUCAGUAGGUUGGUCGUGCCACUGGUAUGCACUGGCCUUACUGAUUCCUCCCUCUUGUAGAACCGUAAUGCCAUUAAUUUGGUGUUGCGGGGAAACAGGACUGUUACUUUGAAAAAAUUAGAGUGUUUAAAGCAGGCUAACGCUUGAAUACAUUAGCAUGGAAUAAUGAAAUAGGACGUUCGAUCCUAUUUUGUUGGUUUCUAGGAUUGACGUAAUGAUUAAUAGGGAUAGUUGGGGGCAUUAGUAUUCAAUUGUCAGAGGUGAAAUUCUUGGAUUUAUUGAAGACUAACUACUGCGAAAGCAUUUGCCAAGGAUGUUUUCAUUAAUCAAGAACGAAAGUUAGGGGAUCGAAGACGAUCAGAUACCGUCGUAG
rnacentral:rRNA from 1 species